UACAGAGGGGGCAAGCGUUAUUCGGAAUUAUUGGGCGUAAAGGGCGCGUAGGCGGCUUGGCAAGUGGAUGGUGAAAUCCCUCGGCUUAACCGAGGAACUGCCGUCCAAACUGCUUUGCUUGAGACCGGGAGAGGUGAGUGGAAUUCCCAGUGUAGCGGUGAAAUGCGUAGAUAUCUGGAGGAACACCGGUGGCGAAGGCGGCAUCCUGGACCGACAUUGACGCUGAGGCGCGAAAGCCAGGGGAGCAAACGGG
rnacentral:rRNA from 1 species